rnacentral:rRNA from 1 species
UACUACCGAAGCUACGGCAUCAGUAAUGAUGGGUAGGGGAGCUUCCCAUACGGGUUGAAGCAUGACCGUAAGGACAUGUGGACAGUAUGGGAGUGAGAAUGUUGGCAUGAGUAGCGAGAUGUGGGUGAGAAUCCCACAGGCCGUAAACCCAAGGUUUCCAGGGGAAGGUUCGUCCGCCCUGGGUUAGUCGGGACCUAAGCUGAGGCCGAAAGGCGUAGGUGAUGGACAACAGGUUGAUAUUCCUGUACUACCGAUAACCAUUUGAGAGAAGGGAUGACACAGUAGGAUAAGCUAAGCACACUGUUGGUUAUGUGUGCCCAAGCAUUGAGGCAGUCCAAGUAGGCAAAUCCGCUUUGAUAAUGCUGGGAUGUGAUGGGGAGCGAAAUU